UAAGGUCUUCAGCCUUUACCUGUCUCUUUGGGGUCGCUGUUCUGUGUAAGCCUUCUCCAUCUUCUAUCUUGUCACUGGGAAUGAAUCCAUGGCAGAGGAGACUGAAGAGCAGAUUCUUCAAGACAGUAACAUAAUUUGAACAUUUAUCCUCCCUGAAUGUGUUUCAGCCCCUCUCUUCCCCAAGGAUGAGGAGAACCCCUUAGUAUGGAUCUUACGACUUGUAAGUCAAACCCCUGUACAGGUUAACACCGAUGAAGGCAUCGAUGCAUCCCUUUGCAAUACAACCAUACAAGAUGGAAAGACUGUUCUGCUAGUAAGCUGAUAACAAGGGAAUUUAUGUGCAGGCCUGAGCCAUAUUUACUCCAACCAUCAUCUCCCACCAUCAUAUCACAAACUCGGCCCGACAUCCAUACAAUCAACAGUUGAUUAUGACUGAAAUAGAAAAAUGUUUGGAACGAGUUGUACUUUCACAAUCGGGGAUAUUAAAAUCUUAACCUCAUUUGACUAUGAAAACCAAUAGAAUUUAAUUUAUAUUAAUUUGCAAGUGUCAGCUCAUCAGGGUCAUAACAGUACCUGUUGGCCCAAAGUUUAGUACAUAAGAGUUCAGCGUUCUUUAUAGUUUUUUGAGUGGGAACUACAGGAGUCUUUAUCAUACCAAUUAGUUGUCUAACAUUGUUUCAUCUACAAUUAUUUUGUUGAUGUCAGAUAUUAGGUGUAAUGUAAUACCUUGGGUUACGUAAUACUAAACAGGUUUCUUAUUAAUGUCAUAUCAGCUACUAGGCAGCCAUCUUUAUGUAAAUAUAUUAUGUCGAGAAGUUGGGUAUAUUUAAGGAGAGAGUUUUCCAUGAGCUAGCUUUAAAAUUACUCGGCAGGUUUUGCCUAGAUCUCUGCCCUUUGAUUUGCAGUAUUUAUAUACAUACUAGGUUUUUCAAUGCAUACUUGCUUGGGUACAAAGGUUACGUGAGAUUAAUACUAAUGUGAUGCUUAUUAUCUCCAGUAAUUUUAUGAAAUUUGUAAACAAUGGAAAGCCAAAACUUCAUUAAUGACAAAGAAUAGGUAACUUUGAUUUUAUUAAAAAUAUUCGUGGUAGUCAGUAUAAUUGAAAAUAGCAGUAUGGAGUAAAAAGUGUCAAGUAUUAACUUUUACAGAAAGGGUGAUAUUUGUUGUAAAUAAUACAAAUUUCUUUAUAUUUUUUCCAGUCCGUAUUAUAGAUAGUUAAGCUAGCUUCCAUCACAAUAGGGACUUGUAAGUUUUUUUGCAGCCUUUAUCCAUCUUUUGUUCCAUUAGAAUUAAAUUCUUAAUGGCUUCUUGGUCUUACGUAAUUGCUAUAUAUGAACGAUGGAACCUUGACUUUCAAGCUUAUAUAGGUACUA